rnacentral:rRNA from 1 species
GGAAUCUUCCGCAAUGGGCGCAAGCCUGACGGAGCAACGCCGCGUGAGUGAGGAAGUUUUUCGGAACGUAAAGCUCUGUUGUUCCUGACGAACGUGCCACCUAUCAACAACGGGUGGCAAUGACGGUAGGGAACGAGGAAGCCACGGCUAACUACGUGCCAGCAGCCGCGGUAAUACGUAGGUGGCAAGCGUUGUCCGGAAUUAUUGGGCGUAAAGCGCAUGUAGGCGGGGGAUUAAGUCUGUCGUGAAACUGCGGGGCUCAGCCCCGUAUGGCGAUGGAAACUGGUCCACUUGAGUGCAGGAGAGGAAAGGGGAACUCCCAGUGUAGCGGUGAAAUGCGUAGAUAUUGGGAAGAACACCGGUGGCGAAGGCGCCUUUCUGGACUGUGUCUGACGCUGAGAUGCGAAAGCCAGGGUAGCGAACG